AUUCACGUCUCUGACUGUGAGUAUGGCUGAUUAAAUCAGCCAUUGUUGCUGAUUGUUGGGAAGGUGUAGUGGCACCCCUUAGGGUGUUUUCUGCAUAACGGGCAUCCUCAAAAGAUGCCC
rfam:Mastigocoleus testarum BC008 Contig-30, whole genome shotgun sequence.